CCUACGGGAGGCAGCAGUGAGGAAUAUUGGUCAAUGGGCGGGAGCCUGAACCAGCCAAGUCGCGUGAGGGAAGACGGUCCUAUGGAUUGUAAACCUCUUUAGGCGGGGAGCAAUGCCGGGCACGCGUGCCCGGAGGGAGAGUACCCGCAGAAUAAGCAUCGGCUAACUCCGUGCCAGCAGCCGCGGUAAUACGGAGGAUGCGAGCGUUAUCCGGAUUUAUUGGGUUUAAAGGGUGCGUAGGCGGAUUUUUAAGUCAGCGGUAAAAUGUCCGGGCUCAACCCGGGCCGGCCGUUGAAACCGGGGAGCUUGAGUGGGCGAGAAGUAUGCGGAAUGCGUGGUGUAGCGGUGAAAUGCAUAGAUAUCACGCAGAACUCCGAUUGCGAAGGCAGCAUACCGGCGCCCGACUGACGCUGAGGCACGAAAGCGUGGGGAUCGAACAGGAUUAGAGACCCGUGUAGUC
rnacentral:rRNA from 1 species